GUGCCAGCAGCCGCGGUAAUACAGAGGGUGCAAGCGUUGUCCGGAUUUAUUGGGUGUAAAGGGUGCGUAGGCGGGACGAUAAGUCCGAGGUGAAAGCCCGCAGCUUAACUGCGGAACUGCCUUGGAUACUGUCGACCUUGAGUCCCGGAGGGGUGGCUGGAAUUCCUGGUGUAGCGGUGAAAUGCGUAGAUAUCAGGAGGAACACCGGAGGUGUAGACGGGUCACUGGACGGGUACUGACGCUGAGGCACGAAAGCGUGGGGAGCAAACAGGAUUAGAAACCCUGGUAGUCC
rnacentral:rRNA from 1 species